GUGCUCGCUUCAGCAGCAUACAAACUAAACUUGGAACAAUGCACAGUGGAUUAGCGUGGCCCCUGUGCAAGGAUGACACAUGGAUUCAUUAAGUGUCCCAUUUUUUC
ensembl:snRNA U6 U6 spliceosomal RNA